AGUAAUGCUUGGGAAUCUAGCUUAUGGAGGGGGAUAACUACGGGAAACUGUAGCUAAUACCGCGUAAUAUCGGAAGAUUAAAGUGUGGGACCUUCGGGCCACAUGCCAUAGGAUGAGCCCAAGUGGGAUUAGGUAGUUGGUGAGGUAAAGGCUCACCAAGCCGACGAUCUCUAGCUGGUCUGAGAGGAUGACCAGCCGCACUGGGACUGAGACACGGCCCAG
rnacentral:rRNA from 1 species